rnacentral:lncRNA from 1 species
UUUUUUUUUUUUUUUUUUUCCUGAGCCACGUCUGCGACCUACACCACAGCUCGCGGCAACUCCGGAUCCUCAACCCACCGAGCAAGGCCAGGGAUCAAACCUGCAACCUCAUGGUUCCUAGUCGGAUUCGUUAACCACUGCACCAUGACGGGGACUCCUAAAUUAAAGACUUUUUAAAAGGCCAUUCUUGUCAAUGCCUUACAGUCCCUAAGAAAUGACUCAUCACAUUUAAGAUCUGAAUGGAACAAUGGAGAUCAAAACCCAAUACCCUCACUUUCUAGACAAAACUAACGAGGACUUGAAGCUAGAGUUAAUGGCUGGGAGGCCACAUGGCAAUUUGGUGGCUCACCAGGGACCUGUUAAAAAUGUGUCUCCUUUCAUACUUCCCAAAUAGCAGUGUAGAGACCAUGAAAAUUCACUCCUUUAUAAUAAACAAGGGGAAGACUGGCAAAAAAGAAAUUCAAAGUCAACAUUUCUACCACUCUAAAAAUUGACCUAAGGAUUAUAGCAAUUCAGAGGGUUUAUUCAAGAAAAAUGUCUGAAUCAUCAUAAAAGCAAUGAGCUUUGUGACACUUUGGCAUGCUAUGUUUCCAUUUCUCCUUUCCCAUUUCCACAAGAGAAUCAAAACCUCCAGCCUCACAAUAAUGUAGUUAUUGACACAACCAGUCUAUCUGCCAGUAGUGGGGUGAAAAUGGUUUGAAGAUCCUCUAAAGCUCUAUGUCCAGAGAACUGCCACUACUUGACCCAUUUUGGCAGUACUAAAUUCUUUCAUUCUCAAGGCUUUUUUAUUAGAUCUGAUUAAGAGCUCUUUUUACACAAUCAACACUAUCUCUGGGAGUUUUCAUCAUGGCUCAGCAGUUAAUGAACCCAACUUGUAUCCAUGAGGAUGGAGAUUCAAUCCCUGACCUUGCUCAGUGGGUUAAGGGUCCAGCAUUGCUGUGAGCGGUGGUGUAGGUCACAGACAUGGCUUGGAUCUGGCCUUGCUGUGGCAUAGGUCAGCAGCUGCAGCUCCUAUUUGACCCCUAGCCUGGGAACCUCCAUAUGCCUCAUAUGUCACAGAAAGUGCAGCCCGAAAAUGACAAAAAAAUAACAGCAACAACGACAAAAAAGCCACUAUCCCUGGCGUGUUGUCAUAAACAAUAAGUGGCAAUUGUUUAACAUCUCCUGUGGUUGGAGCAGAGACUUCACUUGAGGCUACUGAAAAACUUAUUGAAAUAUUUAAAAGGAAAAAUUGGGGAAUGAGAGAUCCACAGAAAUCUUUUAAAACUUCUGACAUGUUCCUGGGAAUCCAGAGGCUACAUGCAUGUGCACAGCUGUCUGUAUGUCCAGAAAAGAUAUGAGAUGACCCUAAUUUCUCACCAGUGGCUAACCAUGAAGCUCUGCACAAAUAGGGAGUAAAGCUGACAGAGUUAUAAAUUAUACACAGGCACUUUGAACUCAUGGUCCAACACAUAUUGCACCACUCAGAACAGUUACUGUUUCAAAGCAUCUAAGGAAAUAUUCAUCCAGUCAUUACCUGAUAAGUAAGCUAAUCAUGCAAAGACUUUCAUGGUUGCCCACAAUGAAGAAUACAUACUUAACAGAGUUAAUCCAGAAAAGUCACUAAGUGAGCAGACGGUAUGAACUGCUCAAUUACUGUGAGGGGGGGGUGACAUAAUGUCUUGCCAAAUUAUAAUUUUAACCAAUUGAAAAAUUAAAGUUUUAAAUUUUACAUUACUACAUUUUUAAAAUUAUGGGACAUGCCAAGAAAUAGGGGGAUUACUUACACAACAACAAAAAAAAAAAGUCAAUAUAAACUGUGCCUGAGGAAACCCAGAUACUGGACUUACUAGACAAAGACUUUAAAUCAGCUAUUAUAAAUAUAUUUAAACAAGUAAAGGAAACCAUACCUUAAAGAUUAAAGAAAAUUAUGAGAUUUUUAUCACAAAAAGAAAUAUUAAUAAAGGAUAUAAAGAACCAAAUAGCAAUUACAGAGUAAAAAUUAUAAUAACUGAAAGGAAAAAGUCACUAGGGAGGUUUAAUAGAAUACUUUAAAUGGCAGACAAAAUAAUCCAUGAACUUUAACAGCUGGUCAGCUGGGCUUAUUAAUUCUUAACAACAGAAAGAAGAGGAGAAAAAAAAAAAGAAACAGAGGCUCAGAGACCCAUAUGACAACAUUAAUUGUAACAAAAUAGUUAUUACAAGAAUUCCAAAAGUAGAGAAGAUAUGGAAGUAAGUCGAAAGAAUAUUUGAAGAAAUAGUAUCUGAAUAAUUUCCAAGUUUGAUGAAAAACAUUAAUCUGAACAUCAAAGACCUCAAGAAAAUCCAAAUAAUAUGUAAGGGAAUCACAAAGAGGUCCACAUCUAGACAUCAUGGUCAAACAAUUUAAAACCGAAGACAGCGAUACUCUUAGAAACAGCAAGAGAGGAGUGGCUUUUCAUGUAAAAGUGAUCUUCAGUAAGGUUUUUUCUAUUAUUUAAUUUUUUAUUUUUUUAAUUUGAUUUACAAUGUUCCGUCAAUUUCUGCUGUACAGUAAUGAUUAAAUAGCUAAAUUCUCCUCUAGAGACAUGGAGGCCAAGAGCAGUGGCAUGACAUUUUCCACAUGAUGAAGAAAAAAACUGUCAACCAAAAACUUUACGUGAAGUAAAACUAGAUAAACAAAAACAGAGUAUUUAUUGCUAGCUGACCUCCCCCAGAAGAAAGACUAGAGAGUCCUUGUGGCUGAAAUAAAAGGGAAUUGUAUUGAGAAAAUACAUACAGGAGUUCCCGUCGUGGUGCAGUGGUUAACGAAUCCGACUAGGAACCAUGAGGUUGCGGGUUCGGUCCCUGCCCUUGCUCAGUGGGUUAACGAUCCGGCGUUCCCGUGAGCUGUGGUGUAGGAAGACCAGGUGGGAAGUUCUCAGUAGUGUGUGGAGUCCUCAUGAAAGAGAGGGUGUGGUUUUAAAAUGAUUAACAUCCCAGAGAUCCCAGAAGUCCUGAUUUAACAUACUUCUACUCUUCAAUAAAGGUGAUGUAUGCCUUAUAUAAAUAACUCUGAUUCAAUGAAUAUUCCUUUAUAACUUUUCAAUAAUAAGUUUAUGCAUUAAAUGAAAAGAAGAAAAGGAGGGAGGGAGGAAGGAGAGAGUGAAAACAAAAUGAAGAAAAGGAAGGAAGGCAAGAAAGGAAAACAUUCUGCUGUGAAUUCCUGCCAGCGAUUGAGACAGUGGAAAUUCUGCAUGUGUGAAAGAUUCUAAAGGAAGACAAGGGCAGCUCCAAGUUCCACUUGAUGUGGAGAGGCAAAACUUAGGGGAAGAAAUCAAGGUGUGUUUCAAAUUCUCAAAGUGAAGGAAAUAAGAAAUUUGAAAAAAAAAAAAAAGCCACAUGGAUGGCAGGCUACAUUUAGAGAAGUAAGGAUGUUUGGUGUUUAGCUAGAAGUCUUUUGUUAACACUUUCGCAAAAAAAAAAAAAAAAAAAAAAUCUCUGAACAUUAACUUUGUGGUUUUAUGAACCUUUCAUCUCUCUUCAGAUUUGUUUGGUUCUCUCUCUACCUAACCUGUUUAGGUGACCCCACCCCACUUGAUGGCUGCCUCUAGGAAAGCCUGGGGAUUAAGCAAGUCAAUUCGGGUCUCUUACAUACAACCCCUCAUCUCUGCCUCAUCACCUUGCUUUAAGUACCAAGCGCCCAGUGCCCCUACUAUUCACUUCUUGCCUGUUUUAGUACCACUGCCUCUAAUUCAGUUCCUUUGCCUAAGCCCACCCUCUGCGAACAGUGCCCAGACUUUAUAGUGACCACAUACAUAUUCUGAAUUUUCUUAUAACAGUCCCAAUGUGAACCACCUCCUUUUCUCAUCUCAGUCUGCUAUUGGGAAAAUUAUCACCAAGUCACUCCUCUCUUCACUUUCCCCUCUCAAAGGUAACUCAUCUUAACAAUCUGUUCAAGAUAUUAAAGACAUUAGCAUUAGGUUGUGAAUCCCUUUAGUAAGAUGUAGCAGUCUUAGCUGCCUUAGAAGGGCAACUACCCUCUUACUUAAAAUAAAUCCAGACAUGCCUGUCAGAAUAACACCAGCAUUAGUAUAAGAAUUCAAAUAAAAUUAAGCAUCGAUCAUCAUUUGGCAUUGCAAAGCCUUAGAAUUCACUUUCUAGUCUAUCAUAAUUAGCUUUUGUUAUCCUCUGAUAUAGGCGAAAUGAAUCAAUGACUUAACUCAAUGGGAUCCUAAUUUAUGUGUACUUGUAUUUAAUCAAAGAGGAUAUGUGUACUUGAAAAUCUCAUCCUCUAAAGAAAAGCAUUAUUUUAAGUUUAAAAAUAUCGUCCUGACAAUGCAUACCUGAUGGAGACAUCUAAAAGCUUCUCUAGUUUUAUCUGCAAUAAAAUUGUGUUAAAUUCAAGUCACAGUGUGCAGUUACAGUACAGCUGGAAAAGAUGCAAUGUUUUCUUAGAGAAAAUGCUUGGCAUCCAGGUGAGGGGAAUACAUAAAGGAGUAAAACUUAGGGAGCCAGGAACAGAUGUGAAAAAAUGAGACAGGAGUCUUUUGAUUCUCUGAGCUCGAGGCAAAAUCCCAUCUGUCAAGCACCUCUCUUGGAUUUCCCCAAAGACUCCUGCCUCCAGCUUUCCAGAUUGUCCUGGCAAUUAAACGUCUUCCAAGACCUGUCACAUUCAUCAUCGUAAACAUCUCUCAACAGGCUUCCAUUUGCACUCUGAUUUUCCAUGAUUUCCAUGAUCUCUACAGCCUGCUGGUCACCCCCUGAAACCCACGUAGGUUUCUCACAAUGAGCCUAAUACAUGGCAGCCAGAGCCAGCACCACCCCCAAAUGCAUUUCCCUUCUUUCAGGCUAGAGAACCUUCAGGAAGCAACAAAAGGUGCCCAGAUACUCUUUGUAGCACCAACUCUAGGAUGAUUAGACAGAUUUUUAAUUUGUUUAAGGUUGCUAUGGUUUGCUUUUUUUUGUUUGUUUGUUUUUUUGUAAUUUGUAGUGGUGGUCUUAGUCCUAAAAUGUAAAGAAAAACACACAAUCUUAAAUUCAAAAGACAUAUUUUUCAGGAAGAUUAAAAUUUAUUUAGCUAUAAAUGCAUCUAUUCUAUAUUAAUUAUUUAAAGGCAUAUAAGCUUCCUAGGAUUAUCAUUUCGCUGCAAAGUUCUUGGGAACUGCUCUCCUUCAAAAGGAUAAGUAAGGCCUCUAUGACACCAGGAAACAGGAAGGAAGCAGCAUGUGUUUAGGAAACAGAUCAAUCAGGGUAAAAUCCCAAACUAGACACUUACAGCAUGAAAAGGUAGCUAUAUCUCUGAUCUGACUUGCCUCAUUUCUAAACUGGCAUAAUAUCCCAAAUUUCUUAGACUUCCUAUGAACAAGCAAUAGCCUAGAAAACCAUACACACAGGACACAUCAAAGGAGAUGAAUCCAUGAAUCAUGUCCCUCUUGGGGUUCCCAUCUGCCAUGACAUCCCCUAGUGAGCAGGUGGUUAAUAAAGGCUGCUAAAUGACAGUG